rnacentral:lncRNA from 14 species
AUGCCCAACAGAAGUGUUGGUGGUGAGGGCAGCAGAUGGAAAGGAAAAGUCUGGGCUUCUAGCAAUGAUCAGACGUCAUCCUACAGCUGGCAAAUCAGCAAGGGAUAUAGAUCAGCCUUUCUCUUCAUUAAAUCUGUAAUUAAGACCCCAUUCUGCUUUGUUGAAAUCCUGCUGUGUUGGAAGAGGGAUGAAGCAAACAUCAGGCAUGUGUAUUCCGCUUCAAAGUUUGUGAAUAUGGCUCUGGCUUUCGACAAGACAGAAUUUCCAGAGGGCGAUUCUGGAGUUAAACCAAAUGUCUUUCAGAGAGUGGCAGGGGAAAACAGCCAGUGCUUCGUGGCAGUAGCAGGGUGUGCUUUGCAAAAGCAGCAUCAUGCUAAGGGGCCAGUGGUGGCUGAUGUGGGAGCUCAGGUCACGUUUCCUUAUGUGGGAACUGUGGAAUGUGUUCAAGGCCGGAAAUCUAAUAAGGAUCAGGGCGGUGCCUACUGUUCCGAGUGGGUACCUGCGGACCAACUCUACCUUACCAAGUGUCCUGGCAUGGUCUUGCCCCAGUAUGUGCCUUGCCUUAGCACUGUGUCUGUCUCUGGUGACAUAAAUCAGCUCAAGUCCUCUGAAGAGGCAAGAAACUGCAGCAUACCGCCAGAAGUUGUUUUGGUGCAUUUCUCUCUAUGGAGUUCUGAAAAAUGGAGUUCAACUCUAUGCAAUAUAAGGCAGACCAAUACAUACUGUUCAGUAUUGGAAGAAGGUAAAACUUUAAGGAUAAAAGAGGGAGGAAGGUGGGCUUUUGAAGAAGAUACUCAGAUCGUAGUUACCUCUUUCUCCUCAAUUCCUAACCAACAUGAGGUCAACAUUCACCUAACCCCUCCCCCUCGACUUCUAUAUGGGUGUUCCCCUCCCCAUCCUACCCCCAUUACCGCCCUCCCCCCAACAAUCCCAUUCACUGGGGAUUUUGGGGAUCCGGUCUUGGAAGGACCAAGGGGCUUCCCCUUCCACAGUGCCCUUACUAGGCUACUCAUUGCUACCUAUGAGGUUGGAGUCCAGGGGAAUGAUGGAGCCCAACUACAAACCAAGUACAGUCUGCAGACUAUUUGCAAGGUGGACAAUUUCUGCUCAGAAAUACAAAAACAUGUCCUGAGCGAAGUGGUGGAGAUAGAAGGGAAGUUAACCUGA